AUCACUUUGAUGGAAAGGAUGCAUUUAAUUCCUAGGCUAAAGCUCCAAACCCAUGUUCAUAAUUUUGGGUGUUUUUAUUUCUUGACUGGAAUGAUCCUCUCUCUCACCAGAUAAACAGUGAUUACAGUGUUCAUACCAAUUCAUGUCAAGACAGGAAGAUUGUUUAAAACAAUCCAUGUCAUGUUUAAUACACUAAGCCUAUGAGUGGUGCCAUGGAGUUUAUUUUGCAAAUGCACAAAAUCUGCUUACAAUAAAAAGUCUGAGUCUGAACGCAGAUAUUUUUUAAGGUAGCCCUAAGCAACCACAACAUAGUAACUACUGAGAAACACAACACAAAAAACAAAUAGAUGUCUAGAAGUGCUACUGAGUGAAACAAAAAAAAGGCAAGGGUGUCCUUUUGUCAACCUCCUCUAUGAGCUGGAAUGAAAAAAGUGCAUUUGAGUCAGAAUCAAAGAAAGGGAAACUGCUGGGUCUGCUCUCAACAUGCCUUUGAACCAGCCUAAGCAUGCCUCAGUCUAGCUGGGAGACAUGCAUAUACUGGCCUAAGGAUUUCACAACUGGGAAAACGAGGGAGCCUUUAGUUUGUGUAUUUUGUUUAGCUAAAUAUAGCACCAUACAUAACUUGUGAAAAAGGGUUUUGAACCUUUGAAUCUUCAUGUAGCUUUCAAAAGCAAGAUAGAGAAACACGGACUGGUUCAUCUUUCCAGUCAAGGGACUAGGAAAGCAAGCAACUUUCUGAAGUUCCCUUGCUCUGCCUGCUGCCCCAGAGCUGCUACAAGGCCAAAGCACUCUUUAACCCUAUGAACAGUGUGUGCCUGGAAAGUCUGACUGCAGGAGGAUAUUUUUUUCUCAGGCUGGACAGAAACCAAAUCGCUUUUGUUGGAAUCCAAGAGUCCAAACUUUGUUGUUACUGUAAACUGGCAAGAAGGCAGAUUGUUCAUGGCAUUGCUUCAGUGGGAUAGGACACAGGCUUACCAGUGACACACAGAUGCAGCCAGUUUGCAUUUUGAAGUGCAGAAGAAGUGGGCCUUUUGGGUUUGACUAGAACUGGUGAGCCUACAACUUUGUGUAAAGUGUGAAAAUCUCUCUGAGAAAAUCAGUCUGCCAAAACACAACACAGCUGGUAAUUGUAAGGGCAACAGCUGCAGCUGGACUUUGGUGAAUACAGCAACAUCCACAACAUCCAUAAAAGGCAAGGCAUUUCAAAUGGUCAAAACUGA